GUGGGGAAUAUUGGACAAUGGGCGAAAGCCUGAUCCAGCCAUGCCGCGUGUGUGAAGAAGGUCUUCGGAUUGUAAAGCACUUUAAGUUGGGAGGAAGGGCAGUAAGUUAAUACCUUGCUGUUUUGACGUUACCGACAGAAUAAGCACCGGCUAACUUCGUGCCAGCAGCCGCGGUAAUACGAAGGGUGCAAGCGUUAAUCGGAAUUACUGGGCGUAAAGCGCGCGUAGGUGGUUUUGUAAGUUGGAGGUGAAAUCCCAGGGCUCAACCUGGGAACUGCCUCCAAAACUGCAUGACUAGAGUACGGUAGAGGGUAGUGGAAUUUCCUGUGUAGCGGUGAAAUGCGUAGAUAUAGGAAGGAACACCAGUGGCGAAGGCGACUACCUGGACUGAUACUGACACUGAGGUGCGAAAGCGUGGGGAGCAAACAGGAUUAGAUACCCUAGUAGUCC
rnacentral:rRNA from 1 species